AGUAACGCGUGGAUAACCUGCCUCACACUGGGGGAUAACAGUUAGAAAUGACUGCUAAUACCGCAUAAGCGCACAGUACCGCAUGAUACAGUGUGAAAAACUCCGGUGGUGUGAGAUGGAUCCGCGUCUGAUUAGCCAGUUGGCGGGGUAACGGCCCACCAAAGCGACGAUCAGUAGCCGACCUGAGAGGGUGACCGGCCACAUUGGGACUGAGACACGGCCCAA
rnacentral:rRNA from 1 species